UACGGAGGGUGCAAGCGUUAUCCGGAAUCACUGGGCGUAAAGGGCGCGUAGGCGGUCUGUUAAGUCCGAUGUUAAAGACCGGGGCUCAACCCCGGCAUUGCGUUGGAUACUGGCAGGCUGGACGACUGGAGAGGAAAGUAGAAUUACCAGUGUAGCGGUGAAAUGCGUAGAUACUGGUAGGAAUACCCAUUGCGAAGGCAGCUUUCUGGACAGUUUGUGACGCUGAGGCGCGAAAGUGUGGGGAGCAAACCGG
rnacentral:rRNA from 1 species